GAUGAAGAACGCAGCGAAAUGCGAUAAGUAAUGCGAAUUGCAGAAUUCAGUGAGUCAUCGAAUCUUUGAACGCACAUUGCGCCCCUUGGUAUUCCAUGGGGCAUGCCUGUUCGAGCGUCAUCUACACCCUCAAGCUCUGCUUGGUGUUGGGCGUCUGUCCCGCCCCCGCGCGUGGACUCGCCCCAAAUCCAUUGGCAGCGUUCCUUGCCCCCUCUCGCGCAGCACAUUGCGCUUCUCGAGGGCGGCUCCGGGACGCGAUCCAGCAAGAUGACCACCGUCUUUGACCUCGGAUCAGGUAGGGAUACCCGCUGAACUUAAGCAUAUCAAUAAGCGGAGGA
rnacentral:misc_RNA from 1 species